UGAAAAAUGGCUAAGAUAGUAAAUUUCGUUGUGUAUAUUUCAUCACAAUAAAAACUGGGGAAAUUGAAUAAAUUCAACAAAAGUCAUGAAGUAAAUAAUUCUUUUCUUUUCCUUUUUUACUUUUACUGCAGAAAGAGAAGAGAUCAUGAGAAAGUCACAGUGGAUUCCUGUUUCAGAACAACAUCAGAGGGAAUACGGGAAACCAAUUCAUUUAUGAAGCCGUAUAUAGAGGGAUGUGAGAAAAGUGUAGGUAAGUUUUCAAAAAUCCCA
rnacentral:lncRNA from 1 species